rnacentral:rRNA from 3 species
GUGUGACUGCGUACCUUUUGUAUAAUGGGUCAGCGACUUAUAUUCUGUAGCAAGGUUAACCGAAUAGGGGAGCCGGAGGGAAACCGAGUCUUAAUUGGGCGUUAAGUUGCAGGGUAUAGACCCGAAACCCGGUGAUCUAGCCAUGGGCAGGUUGAAGGUUGGGUAACACUAACUGGAGGACCGAACCGACUAAUGUUGAAAAAUUAGCGGAUGACCUGUGGCUGGGGGUGAAAGGCCAAUCAAACCGGGAGAUAGCUGGUUCUCCCCGAAAGCUAUUUAGGUAGCGCCUCGUGAAUUCAUCUCCGGGGGUAGAGCACUGUUUCGGCUAGGGGGCCAUCCCGGCUUACCAACCCGAUGCAAACUGCGAAUACCGGAGAAUGUUAUCACGGGAGACACACGGCGGGUGCUAACGUCCGUCGUGAAGAGGGAAACAACCCAGACCGCCAGCUAAGGUCCCAAAGUCAUGGUUAAGUGGGAAACGAUGUGGGAAGGCCCAGACAGCCAGGAUGUUGGCUUAGAAGCAGCCAUCAUUUAAAGAAAGCGUAAUAGCUCACUGGUCGAGUCGGCCUGCGCGGAAGAUGUAACGGGGCUAAACCAUGCACCGAAGCUGCGGCAGCGA